rnacentral:tRNA from 1 species
GACUCCAUGGCUGAAUGGUUAAAGCGCCCAACUCAUAAUUGGUAAAUUUGCGGGUUCAA